AGAGUUUGAUCCUGGCUCAGGAUGAACGCUAGCGGCAGGCCUAACACAUGCAAGUCGAGGGGCAGCACGGUGUAGCAAUACACUGGUGGCGACCGGCGCACGGGUGCGUAACGCGUAUGCAACCUACCCAUAACAGGGGGAUAACACUGAGAAAUUGGUACUAAUACCCCAUAACAUCAGGACCGGCAUCGGUUCUGGUUGAAAACUCCGGUGGUUAUGGAUGGGCAUGCGUUGUAUUAGCUGGUUGGUGAGGUAACGGCUCACCAAGGCAACGAUACAUAGGGGGACUGAGAGGUUAACCCCCCACAUUGGUACUGAGACACGGACCAAACUCCUACGGGAGGCAGCAGUGAGGAAUAUUGGUCAAUGGACGCAAGUCUGAACCAGCCAUGCCGCGUGCAGGAAGACGGCUCUAUGAGUUGUAAACUGCUUUUGUACGAGGGUAAACGCAGAUACGUGUAUCUGUCUGAAAGUAUCGUACGAAUAAGGAUCGGCUAACUCCGUGCCAGCAGCCGCGGUAAUACGGAGGAUUCAAGCGUUAUCCGGAUUUAUUGGGUUUAAAGGGUGCGUAGGCGGUUUGAUAAGUUAGAGGUGAAAUUUCGGGGCUCAACCCUGAACGUGCCUCUAAUACUGUUGAGCUAGAGAGUAGUUGCGGUAGGCGGAAUGUAUGGUGUAGCGGUGAAAUGCUUAGAGAUCAUACAGAACACCGAUUGCGAAGGCAGCUUACCAAACUAUAUCUGACGUUGAGGCACGAAAGCGUGGGGAGCAAACAGGAUUAGAUACCCUGGUAGUCCACGCAGUAAACGAUGAUAACUCGCUGUCGGCGAUACACAGUCGGUGGCUAAGCGAAAGCGAUAAGUUAUCCACCUGGGGAGUACGUUCGCAAGAAUGAAACUCAAAGGAAUUGACGGGGGCCCGCACAAGCGGAGGAACAUGUG
rnacentral:rRNA from 1 species